GCGCUGCCGGGUCUGGCUGCUGCGCUGCUCCAGCGACAGGGCGUCGUGCUUACGAGACAAAUCCUCUAUCAUCUGAGCUUCGUGCUGUUUCAGAGACUGCAGAGAGUGCCUGCCAAUCAAAGGUGUUCUCAGUGCCAGAAUGGUGGCUUCCAGCUGCUUGGCUUCAUCCACCAAACCAAACUGAACCUGGGAGUAACAGGUCAGUGGUCAGCUGUUGCCGUGCUUCCUGUAAGCGACUAAAAAGAUACGCUGAGAUUAGCGACCACAUAGUCUUCAUAUCAACAGACAAAAGUCAAGCUGUUCAAAAGACUGAUCGAUGCACUGCUGAAGGAUGCGUUGUGCUCCAUCAAUCACCUCUACCUCCUUCUUCAGUUCAGCUUCUACAGGGUCACUGAUCAGCUCCUUGCCUCGACGACCUUCCCUGAUGUUCAAGCACUC